UACGUAGGCAGCAAACGUUGUUCGGAAUUACUGGGCGUAAAGAGUGUGUAGGCGGUCUUGUAAGUUCUGUGUGAAAUCUCCCGGCUUAACUGGGAGGGUGCGCCGAAUACUGCAAGGCUUGAGUACUGGAGAGGAUAGCGGAAUUCCUGGUGUAGCGGUGAAAUGCGUAGAUAUCAGGAGGAACACCGGCGGUGUAGACGGCUGUCUGGACAGUAACUGACGCUGAAACACGAAAGCGUGGGGAGCAAACAGG
rnacentral:rRNA from 2 species